GCUUGCUUUGGCGGAACAUACACUAAAAUUGGAACAAUCCAGAGAUUAAUUAUUAGCAUGGCGCCUGCACAAGGAUGGCAUGCAAAUGUGACUUGUUCCAUAUUUUA
ensembl:snRNA U6 U6 spliceosomal RNA